CCCAGUUUACUAGCCUAAGCCACACCCCUAGCUUAAGACACACCCACAUAGAGUUAACAGAACAUAUAUACAGAUCAAAUUCCCCAAACCAGCUGAUAGUCCUCUGAGGAAGCAAGACAAUUGCGAAACGUUAGGAUACUUUUUAAAGGAAUCUCCUUACAGUAACUUCUGUUCUGCCUGAUGAUCAUCACCAUGAUUUUAAGAAGAAAGUUUUUUGAAUAAAGAGAAGAUUUUAACCUGCACUAAGAGGAGGAAGCCACAACACGAAGAAGACCAAGGACACACCAAGCUAACCAAAACAAAGUGGAAGAAAAGAACGGCAGGAGGAAGAAGGAGUUGGUUUUGUAUUUCACCGACCUCAAAAGGAAACCACCAUAAACCCUCUUCAAGCCCAUCCCACGGAAUUGAGGUUAGCUUGAGGGACUUUUUCUUGCAAAAACCCACCAGAACCGGCCCCCAAAAAGGACAACGGCCCCGUCAAGGAGGAACGGUAAUUGGGUUGGGGGGAGAGACGGCUGCUGGAGAAAGGUCUAACGUUUGUUCCAACGACAGAUGACAUCAACUCUAAC